rnacentral:rRNA from 1 species
GACGAACGCUGGCGGCAUGCCUUACACAUGCAAGUCGAACGGCAGCAUGGAGAGCUUGCUCUCUGAUGGCGAGUGGCGAACGGGUGAGUAAUGCAUCGGAACGUACCGUGUAAUGGGGGAUAACGUAGCGAAAGUUACGCUAAUACCGCAUACGACCUGAGGGUGAAAGCAGGGGAUCGCAAGACCUUGCGUUAUACGAGCGGCCGAUGUCAGAUUAGCUAGUUGGUGAGGUAAAGGCUCACCAAGGCGACGAUCUGUAGCGGGUCUGAGAGGAUGAUCCGCCACACUGGGACUGAGACACGGCCCAGACUCCUACGGGAGGCAGCAGUGGGGAAUUUUGGACAAUGGGGGCAACCCUGAUCCAGCCAUGCCGCGUGAGUGAAGAAGGCCUUCGGGUUGUAAAGCUCUUUCGGCCGGGAAGAAAUCGCACAGGCUAAUACUCUGUGUGGAUGACGGUACCGGCAUAAGAAGCACCGGCUAACUACGUGCCAGCCGCCGCAGUAA